rnacentral:lncRNA from 1 species
CUUCCUUGUCGUGUCUCCUCGGAGAUCGGCGGGGGCGGGGCCUGAGCAGACACCUGACCCGGUGCGGUCCUCCGUGCCCCCCUGAGCCUCCUGGGAGCCGCCCCUCCCGCGGGGCCGGGCCGGACCGAGCUGGACGCGGCGGGGCAGCCGGAACAGCGCCCCCUGGAGGAGCCGAGGAGGCGCUGCGGAAGCCGGGGGGUGCGGGCCCGGCCCCGCGACACAUUUGGCUCCGGCUUCUGGCGGCUAAGGCAGAAAGAGAAACACACCGGGUUGCAUAGUUUUCAUUUUCCGACAACAGAAAGCAUGUUCAAACCUCGGCAGAGACAACAUUUUUACUGGAACCAGGCUCCAGAAGGAAUGUGUCGGGGCGCUGCCGGGAUAAAGGACCCUGGGUGACAGGGCGGGUGAUCCCUCAACUGCAGGCUCAUUUGUCCCCACGUUGGUCCCUUCGCUCUCAGAACGGACGCCUGCGGAGCCUCCUCAGCCGUCACCUUCAUCCCCCCAGCCCAUCGGCAACACCCACGACAGUAGGGUGACUCUGAGGGCCGGCUGGGACUUCCUCUCUCGCUUCCAGAACCUGAUCACGGAACCAGCUCUGGUUGAAGAGAUGUCUGCUAAGGCCUCUGGGAAAGUUCUUUCCUCCCUAGUAGUAAAUGGAAAACCCCUACUUUCUGCCUUGAACACUGUGUGUGAAGAUAUGAUGCUCUGAGCUGUGGCAGCCAUUUUAAGACUAUGAGGUGAGAAGGCUGGAUUCUUAAAAGAAAUAUGUGGAGGAUGGCAGAAUAAAAAGAGAGAGACCUUGAUAUUAACUUUGAAUCAUUGAACCAACCUGAGACCAACUACCUGCCUGCAGAUAUCUAGUAUAAGAUGUCUUUAUUGCUUAUGCUAUUGUUAGAUGGUUAUUCUGUUACUUGCAGCCAAAUACAUCCUAAUUAAUCAACAGGUGUACACAUGACAUAAGAAACUUCAGUCCUGGGGAGACCACGAGCUGUCGAGAAAAGAAAGCAUGCUUUGGAGUAAAAUGCGGCUUUCAUCUUGGGCUCUAACAUUUAUUCACUGUGCAUUCUUGGGA